UACGGAGGAUGCAAGCGUUAUCCGGAAUUAUUGGGCGUAAAGCGUCCGUAGGUGGCUUUACAAGUCAGCUGUUAAAGCGUGGAGCUUAACUCCAUAAAGGCAGUUGAAACUGUGAGGCUAGAGUGCGGUAGGGGUAAGGGGAAUUCCUAGUGUAGCGGUGAAAUGCGUAGAUAUUAGGAAGAACACCGGUGGCGAAAGCGCCUUGCUGGACCUGCACUGACACUGAGGGACGAAAGCUAGGGGAGCGAAAGGG
rnacentral:rRNA from 1 species